CCGUGCUAGGUGGGGAGCUAGCGGUGCCCUGUAACUCACAAUCCGCUCUAGUGGGACCGAUCAACAGGUUUGAGGCCUAAGGCAGUAAGGUUUAGCGCCUUUAUAAGUGGUGUUGAAAGUCGGGUCUUGUGCGGCGGAGGGUUACAAACCCCGUCAGGUCCGAGAGGAAGCAGCGGUAAGUAACAUUCUCCGGGUGCCACAAGGAAACCUGGCUGGAGCUAACUGUAAUGGUAACACUUGUUGCCUUAUGUCGAUCCUGGGGCACGG
rnacentral:SRP_RNA from 1 species